GACGUAGGGCGCGAGCGUUGUCCGGAUUUAUUGGGCGUAAAGAGCUCGUAGGCGGCUUGUCGCGUCGACUGUGAAAACCCGUGGCUCAACCAUGUGGUCUGCAGUCGAUACGGGCAGGCUAGAAUUCGGUAGGGGAGACUGGAAUUCCUGGUGUAGCGGUGAAAUGCGUAGAUAUCUGGAGGAACACCGGUGGCGAAGGCGGCAUCCUGGACCAAUAUUGACGCUGAGGAGCGAAAGCCAGGGGAGCAAACGGG
rnacentral:rRNA from 1 species